rnacentral:rRNA from 1 species
UACGUAGGGGGCUAGCGUUAUCCGGAUUUACUGGGUGUAAAGGGAGCGUAGACGGCAAUGCAAGUCUGGAGUGAAAGGCGGGGGCCCAACCCCCGGACUGCUCUGGAAACUGUAUAGCUGGAGUGCAGGAGAGGUAAGUGGAAUUCCUAGUGUAGCGGUGAAAUGCGUAGAUAUUAGGAGGAACACCAGUGGCGAAGGCGGCUUACUGGACUGUAACUGACGUUGAGGCUCGAAAGCGUGGGGAGCAAACAGG